UAGGGUAUCAAGAUUCUAUUAUCACAAAUGAACUGAAUCAAAGGUCAAGCAAGCAAAUGCCAUUGAUUUUGAUGAAGUGGAAAGAGAACAUUUCUUAUUUAUAAGUUUAUUUACACUCAUACUAUUGAUGAUAAGACUGAACAACAAACAUUAAAAAUACUAUGAUAGUAAAAAAUUGAGAGAAUUCAGUGCGUUGGGAAGUGUUGACCUAUUUGAUUACGAUUAAAUCAGUUGCAGCUGCAAUGUUAAUUUGUGACUACAAUACAAGUCGUCAAGUCUAUUGAUAAAUUGAUUCAUUAUGAAUGCAAGCCUUGUACAAGGAAACCGUUCAGUUUCGGAUUAAUACAAUAGUGCAGUUGAGCAAUACCUGCGAAAAUAUACUACUUGGAUAGAGCACAAGAAUGAGAAAGUAGUUUCAACCUUCUCACACGUAGAAUAAGGUGACAUUUAAUCUUUUAAUCUUAUUAUUUUGUGAAACAGUGAACAUUGUGGACUAUCUAUUCAGUGUAUGGAGUUUGUGGAGAUCAAGUGAAGUGAAGGUGAAAAAAUAUGUUUCAUUGUUUAAUAUCAAUGGACGCCGUGAAAGUGGAGAGUGUAUCAACACAUAACUCAUAUUGAAUUAAUACAGCUUUCAUAAUUCUGAGCUUGCAGUAAACAAUAGAAAAUAUUAUUUUGCAGAACUCUGUGAUGUGAUAAAACUGAGGAGAAGAUGGACUUCAGUUGAUUCGAUGCUAAAAUCUAUUCGUUUUGAACUAUCAGCAUUUCUUAUACGAAUAUCAAUGCUUCCCAUUUAAACCAAUCAGAAAGUGCAAUGGAGGCAUAAUUCCACUAUGGUGAAAAGCCUGCUGUAGAGUGCUCUGCAGAGGACAUCACGUGACUGAGUGGCUUCAGAGGCUGACAGCUCGGUGACGAGUGGAGGUUCGAGUCCAUCAUCCAGCAGAGACCUCGAUGUGACUGCUGUUUGCAGACUGCUCGGCUCAGUACCAAGCAAGUCGCAAACUUCAUACAGUUCUGGAAACAAUCAGCAUAUAUUUCGCAAACAUCCAAUUAAAUGAUUAACAACCAUGGAAUAGCGAUAACUAAUUUGGAGUAAAAUCACAAAAUCAUCAUUUUAUUUGGAAAAUUUGGAUUGAGCAAAACAAACAAUUAUGACUAUUAACAAUGAGAACUCAAUUCAUAGUUCAAAUUUGGAAUGGAUUUUAAUAUGGACAUAAUAAUGACGAUCAUGAGUAAGCGACAAAGGCAACUUUGCAUGAGCGGAGAGUGAAUUUAAUGAAUUAUAAUAAUACUAGUAGAUUAUAGUGAGAAAAUUUAUUGAAGGCUGUGUAUGGUGAGUUCAACAAUCAUGGUCUUCAAUAAUACUGAAAUACUACUGAACCUGGCUAUCUCAUCAUUAAACAAAGAAACUAAUGCUCUUAUCAUAGUUUUCCUGUAUUGUUUAGUGAAAUAUAGGGAUAUGACUCUUAUUGCAAUCCUACAUAUUCUAAUUCUAUUAAUAUCUAUCAUCUGCAUAUCUAAACUCAUUUUGAGAUACUUAGAUCCAGCAGCCAGAAAAUUAAAAAAAACUUUGAAGAUUUACAUAGAAAAAGAAAAAUAUAAGAAGAUACUUUACAAAAAGAAUACAAUUGUAGCUGAUCUUCUAAGACUAUUUUUGGUUGUAUUGAAGCUAGUUAUUAUUUGUACAAUAUCAAUAUUUUGUUUAGAUAUAUUUGCAGCAGAAUAUGAGCAAAAUGUAAUAAAUUAUCCAUUUAAACUUACACUAAUUAUAAUAGUUGUUUACACUGUAAUCUUUACAAAAUUUAGUUUAUCUAUCAAAUUAUAUGAUGAAUUAUGAAAGUACAGUCGGCUUUUGUCAUCUGUCAGAGUGCAUCAGACUGGAAAAAUAUGAUAUUGUAUACUUUUAAGAAUGAGGAUAAAACUAUGAAUAACUUCCUGAAUAGGAAAA